AAUGUGACCACCUGGAGGGCUUGUUAAAACACAAUUUGCUGGACCCUCCCCCCAGAGUUGAUGAUUUAAUAAAUCUGGAGUAGAGCCUGAGGAUUUACAAUUUUAACAAGGUCUCAGGUGAUGCUAAU
rnacentral:pre_miRNA from 1 species